GAGGGAAUAGCUCAGUGGUAGAGUAUGUGCUUAGCAUGCACGAGGCACUGGGUUCCAUCCUCAGUACCUCCU
rfam:Camelus ferus unplaced genomic scaffold scaffold1232, whole genome shotgun sequence.